rnacentral:rRNA from 1 species
UACGGGGGAGCAAGCGUUGUUCGGAUUUACUGGGCGUAAAGGGCGCGUAGGCGGCGCAACAAGUCACUUGUGAAAUCUCCGGGCUUAACCCGGAGCGGUCAAGUGAUACUGUCGUGCUAGAGUGCGGGAAGGGGCUACUGGAAUUCUCGGUGUAGCGGUGAAAUGCGUAGAUAUCAAGAGGAACACCUGAGGUGAAGACGGGUUGCUGGGCUGACACUGACGCUGAGGCGCGGAAAGCCCAGGGGAGCAAACGGG